UGGACUGUUGCCUGCUCUUUGGACUGGUUUUUGCUCUCACCCUUUUUGAGUGUGUGCUUGUCUUCUGAUUGAAUUCUGUCUUUCUGCUGGUAAAGUUUCAGGUGUGGUUUCGGGUUAGUGAAAGGUGUGAGCUGUAGGGGCCGGACUAUCAGUCACAAGGCUGAUAAAUUGAGGUGUUCCGCUACAGACAAACUUUGUCAGCGGUCUGUAGCAGCUCUAAUUCAUCAACUGAGAAGUCUCCUUAACUUGGCUAAGUAUUGCUUUACUAUCUUCCAUUACCUUUUAUGUCCUAAUUACUGCUUCCAUCAUGUGCUCUACAAUACCUGUUUACUCAUCCCACAGAUCAUGUAGAACUACUCAUCACAGGACCCUAAAUUCCAGUAACCUCAUCUAUCCCCACGUUCGGCAGACUCUCAGACCAGGGUUGCAGGUGCGCUCUGGAAUUGCCAAUCAGCUGUGCAGAAGACAGACUUCAUUUCAGCACUCGUAUCUUUCCAUUUGCUGCACUUCCUGGCAUUGACAGAGACCUGGAUCACCACCAUGAACUCAGCAACUCCAACAGCACUGUCCUCUGCCUUUCACUUCUCCCAUUCCCCAUGGCAGUCUGGCAGGGGUGGUGGCACAGGCCAGCAAGAUAUUCCCCACCUGCCCCCUGGCUGACAGGUGUUCUGCGCAGCAACCGACAAGAUCUAAGGAAGGCUGAGAGAAGGUGGAGGAAAUCCCAGCUUGACUCGGAUCUUUACUCCUAUCAAUCUCUCCUUUCCAAGUUCUCACUUGAAGUUACUGCUGCAAAGUCAUAAUUUUACAAAGGGAAACUGGAAGCAUCAGCAUGUGAUCCACGCAAGCUCUUCAACAUUUUCUCAUCUCUUCUCAACCCUGUUCUCUCACCCCUGAGGAUUUUGUCACCUUCUUUGAGGAGAAGAUGCUGUCCUUCAACUGAUCAAAUCUAAUAACCCAACCACCUGCCCACUGGAUCCCAUCCCAUCUGCAUUGUUUGUCAAUCUCUGAGGACCUAUUGCCCUUCAUCACGUUUCUCAUCAGCAAGUCCUUGGCAUCGGGUGAAGUUCCUCAACUUUCAAGAUGGCAAGAGUGCUCCCCAUCUUGAAGAAACCCAUGCUUGACAGCUCUGAUGUCAACAACUACAGAUCGCUCCAAGACCCCAACCAAUCUGGCUUCAAACCAGCACACUCUACAGAAACUGCCUUCAUCGCAGUGAUGGAGAACCUCCAAUCUGCAAGAUCGGCCAAAUUCUCACCAACCUCGGAAUCACUGGUUAUGCGUGGAAGUGGUUCAAGUCCUAUCUGGAGGAUUGCACUUAUCAGGUUUCCAGUCGCAUCUCGGCAUGCCUGUCUGACAUCU